rnacentral:rRNA from 1 species
GACGAACGCUGGCGGCGUGCUUAACACAUGCAAGUCGAACGGAAAGGCCCUGCUUUUGUGGGGUGCUCGAGUGGCGAACGGGUGAGUAACACGUGAGUAACCUGCCCUUGACUUUGGGAUAACUUCAGGAAACUGGGGCUAAUACCUGAUUGGAGCUCCUGCUGCAUGGUGGGGGGUGGAAAGUUUCGGCGGUUGGGGAUGGACUCGCGGCUUAUCAGCUUGUUGGUGGGGUAGUGGCUUACCAAGGCUUUGACGGGUAGCCGGCCUGAGAGGGUGACCGGCGACAUUGGGACUGAGAUACGGCCCAGACUCCUACGGGAGGCAGCAGUGGGGAAUAUUGCACAAUGGGCGGAAGCCUGAUGCAGCAACGCCGCGUGCGGGAUGACGGCCUUCGGGUUGUAAACCGCUUUCGCCUGUGACGAAGCGUGAGUGACGGUAAUGGGUAAAGAAGCACCGGCUAACUACGUG